GACGAACGCUGGCGGCGUGCUUAACACAUGCAAGUCGAACGGCAAGGCCCCUUUGGGGGUACUCUAGUGGCGAACGGGUGCGUAACACGUGAGUAACCUGCCCUUUACUUCGUUAUAUCUUCAGGAACCUGGGGCUAAUACCGGAUAUGCGUCCUUGCUCCAUGGUGGGGGUUCGAAAGCUUCGGCGGUGUUGCAUGGUCUCGCGGCGUAUCAGCUUGUUGGUGGGUUAGUGGCUUACCAAGGCUUUGACGGGUAGCCGGCCUGAGAGGGUGACAGGCGACACUGGGACUGAGAGACGGCAGAGACGGCGACGGUAGGCAGAAGGGGGGAAGAUUGAACAAGGGGCGGAGGGCUGAUGAAGCAAGGCCGCGGGUGGGAUGACGGCUUUCGGGUGGAAAACAGCUUGCAGCAGGGGAGAAGCUUGUGGUGACGGUACCUGAAGAAGAAGCACCGGCUAACUACGUG
rnacentral:rRNA from 1 species